UCCCCGGGCUGGCGAGGCCCACGCGCGCGUGCACACACACGCGCUCACAGUCCCGCUCACACUCCCGCGUCCUCGCUCCCCGCACCCCACCCUCCGCGCGGCUCCUCCGCCGGGUGGGGGGGUGGGGUGACGUCAGGACUGCAGUCCCGAGGAGAGCGGCUGGAGAGGGCCGCGCGCUCCUCGCCCAGCUGGGAAGCUGGAGGCGCACUGGGGCGACCGCGGCUGCCGCGCUCCUCCCUCUCCUCUGCACCCGCUGUGGCGCUGCCAGCCCGCGGGGCAGCCUCGCGAGCCGCCAGGUGGAUUGAAAGUCGUUUCCUGGGAAGGACGGUGAGGGUGCUGCAGACCUGGCAGGCACUGAAACUGCAACUCGGACAGAAACGACCCAGCGGAGGAGCUGGGCGCGGGGCGCCGUGCGCAACAUCCCUGGGCGACUGGGGGCGGUCGCCGCCCAGCGCGGCGGCCCUACCUCGGCCCCCGGACUCGGGCCCCGGGCGCGCUCGUCCGGUAGAGACCUCCCAACCCUACGCAUUUCGCGGCGGCUCUGGUGCGGGGAAUGCGAGCGCGCCAGCUCCAGGUCACCGCCGUGGAGCAGCCGCCUGUAGGAAAGCGAGGAGAGGCGAGGGGGCGGCAGCCUCUGCCCAAAGUAAGUGCAGCAGAAGUUUGCAUCGGCUUCCCCGUCGCUCCCCUGGAGUGAGUGGGAGGCUUAUCUCCUGCCCUCGUUCUCUGAGGAUAGCAGACUUGCCGGCGACCCUCGCCCGGAGAGAAGGUGAGCGUCACGGGAGGGUCGAGGACGCGGGGGGCCAAGGCAGAGUGGGAUCCCGAUGGAGCCAGGGGAGGAGAUCCUCCACCUGCGGGGAGGAACGCGCAAGGCUCCCAACUUUGGGCGUUAAACCUGGGGACCAAAUUGCAGAACUUUACUGCUAAUGUGACCUCAUUCAGUAACCAUCAUAGAAGCAUACCAAGAUUGAAGGUAGGGAGACAUUUGCCUGCCCUGCUUCCCUGCCCUCCAACCCCCAGGCCCUCCCUGCUCUAAUUCAUUGUCUCCGGCCACCCCCCACAAGCUAUUUCUAGGCUGAAAUACGUGGGAUAUUGAAUAGAUAGUUAUACAUGUGAUUAUGCAUAUGAAAUCAUCUGUAUGAAUUAUGGACAGUGGUUUACAGUUUGG
rnacentral:lncRNA from 1 species